GCUUAGGGCCAUACCACCCUGAGCAUGCCCGACCUCGUCUGAUCUCGGAAGCUAAGAAGGGCUGUGCUUGGUUAGUACUUGGAUGGGAGACUUCCUUGGAAUACCAGGUGCUGUAAGCC
rnacentral:rRNA from 1 species